rnacentral:rRNA from 1 species
UGAGGAAUAUUGGUCAAUGGACGGGAGUCUGAACCAGCCAAGUAGCGUGCAGGAUGACGGCCCUAUGGGUUGUAAACUGCUUUUAUAGGGGGAUAAAGUGUGCCACGUGUGGCAUAUUGCAGGUACCCUAUGAAUAAGGACCGGCUAAUUCCGUGCCAGCAGCCGCGGUAAUACGGAAGGUCCGGGCGUUAUCCGGAUUUAUUGGGUUUAAAGGGAGCGUAGGCCGUCUUAUAAGCGUGUUGUGAAAUGUCGGGGCUCAACCUGGGCAUUGCAGCGCGAACUGUGAGACUUGAGUGCGCAGGAAGUAGGCGGAAUUCGUCGUGUAGCGGUGAAAUGCUUAGAUAUGACGAAGAACUCCGAUUGCGAAGGCAGCCUGCUGUAGCGCAACUGACGCUGAAGCUCGAAAGCGUGGGUAUCGAACAGG